UCAUUAUUUCUUCCAGAACAAGGUAACUUUUAUCGUUGGCUUUAGAAACAUAAUUUUUCAGACUAUUUGGGGCUCAAGCUAAAUGCCUGGCUCUAAAAGCAGUGAUAUUCGAUCAACAAAGCAAGAGAAGCACACGUUUAGCAAACGAAGAAUCGCCACAAGGCUUUCUACUCUGUCACGCUAUAAUCUUUAAUAGUGGUCACGUAGGUCAAGAAUUUUAAGACUGUCAAUAACAACAACCCAGUCACGCCUGAAGCAUGUGCUGUUAGUGAUACAAGUGGAUCGCAGUUUGCCUUGCCUCCAGACUUGAAUGGAGAGGUAUGGCAAUAAGCCGGUCUCGUCGGGCGUUCCCUAGUGGCCAGGGUAUGCGUUUCCAUAGUUGAGCUGCAGCAGCAAUAACGAUAGCAGCGCCCUUGUGCUCGUCAUUUCGUGGAUAACUACAGCGGAGCGUUGCCUAGUGCGCGACAAAGAUGCCAGCUAACGAGAUACAAGGGCUCAUACAUACAACGAACGAGUCGGCGCCCUCCGAGAGCAGGCAGAGUCGUCGCAUCGCGCGGUGGACCCAAGCACCGCUAUACGAGGUUGGUGAAUGAUACUAGCGACCGUGCUCUUCGUUCGUAUAGUACUAACUAUGUGCUGCUGGUCUGCCAUUGAGCACUACGUUACAGCCAACGGCUGAAAUACCCGCGUGCUUGUUUCUCAUUGCCAUCGCUUCUGCCGCUGAGGCUGCCAUAUAGGCGUUUUAUGCUAGUUGCGCAUUUAGUCAGUUGUCUUCGUGUUAUGCUGGCCUUUAGUGGUAGUUGUAAUGGUGUUGAUAGUGACGCCUCUCUUAGCCUGCCUUUCCGAACACGCGCUGCAGCUGACUCUCUGCGCGGAUGCCAAUCGAGGGCCAAGGAUAUGUCUCGAACACUCGGCAGCACAACCCAUAUCAGCUGGCUAGAUGGAUGACUUGUCUGACGGCGACAGCUAUAGCGUCUACGGCUGCUGGAUGGGAGCCGACAGCGAAUUGUCGGUCAAUACGCGACAACUGCCACGGCAGAAUCAACUACACGACGAUUGUUAUUGUUCCGUGUUCGAUUAUCACCAUCGCUAGUCUGAGCUCGCCUGACGUAGUAUGUGCGCAUUACUAACGGACGAUGGGCUUUGUAAGCCAAAGGCUCUAUCGCGAUCGGUCGACAGCAUUAAUGGCAGCAACAAUCAAACGGACGUAACAGAGUGACCGAAUGAACGCUUAAGCGUUGGAACGUAUGCAUUUCAAUAGACAUGUGUGGGCGGAUGAAUCAAGUACGAGACUAUGAAUAUUUCCUACUGUAUUCGGGAACUGUCGAGUUUACUAGGGCAAACGCUCGCAGAGCGCAAUGGCAGAGCGGUAUUUACCGCAAAUGACUGCGCGCGGAACAAUCACCGUUUCGUCAAUUCGACGGCAAUUAACUGGAGACCGACCGUAACAGUUAUGACAUUGGUACUAGUAGACGCAAUAGUUGUGAGUGAAAAUCGUAGCUACAAAAGGCGAGUAAAAAGCAGCCUGCAACAGAUCGUGAUCCACUUUUGAUGCGUUUUCAGCGAUCGCCGAGCGUCGCUCGCCCACAGAAAGACAUGCGAUGUCAAGCAAACAACAACAAUAACUCAGAUUGUCCGUUCACUGACCGUUGCUGAUGGCAACGCUAUCGCAAGACAGAACUUUUUUCACCUCGUCAUUAAAGCAAAAAAAAAAAACAACCGGCACCGAAAAAGAACAUUCUGAAGCUACUGAACUUGAUGACGACUAGUCGGUCGAAAGGCCACAAUACCUCGACACUGUUUCACACGACGAAGCCAUGAGGCUGAGCGAAAAAUAGAGAAGUUCCGUCCUGUGACGAAACAUUACGUGGUAGAGUCAUAGUUGGAAUGAAAAAUUAACAGCGUUUGCCGCUGGAAAAAUUUGGCCUAUUUAUGCAACAGCAUUGGAAGAGCCAUUGGACAACUACAACAGUUUAUUGUACUUCGGUGUUUAGGUGGGCAUAAUGCCUGUUAUCGACCUUCGUUCCCACGACAGCGAAAGCCAAUGCAUGAAAAGUAGGUUCUUCGUUCGACACUGGACACACUCGUACGAUUUCACUAGUCUACAAUUGACGCGCCCGCUCAAGGAUUCUCUAAUUAUCAGACGCAAAGAAAUCAACAAGCAGCGUCCCAGCACUGAGUUUUUUUUAUCUUUCGCUAUAUUUGAUUUAAGAAUAUGCUGGGUUCGAAUCAAACUGAAUGAAGAUUAAAAUGAGAUAAAGGAAUACAGAUACUGUUAGACCCGACAACACGCUUGCUGUAUUUUGCACACAUAUAAACAGAUGUAAAUAAGGAAUAUGGCAAGAUUUGCACAGUGAAGUAACAGUAACAAUCUCGCGUUUGUAAUUGGCCGUCUGAUGUGCCGUAUGUCCGUACUAUUUAAUUAUUUUUUUUAUUGUAUUAUUUAUAAUAUAUAUAUAUAUAUAUAUAUUAGCACCGCUCGCUUGCAGACUGAAAUGAAUAUAUCACAAAAAUCAGCAAUAAAACAACACAGUAUUAUAGCAGCUCUGAAUAGAAUGUGACGUAUAAGAUAGAUCCAUAUUUACAUAGACGUAUUCGUAGUGCAUAUAAUGCAUGAUAACAUCAAGUCUCGCCUUUGUACGCCUUACAGCAGGGCUAACAAGCCAUCUCUGGUACCCGUUUGCUUUUAUAGUAAUGUCAUCAUACUUACUUCCCACGAUGGGAC
rnacentral:lncRNA from 1 species